rnacentral:rRNA from 1 species
CUACGGGCUGCUGCAGUGAGGAAUAUUGCACAAUGGGAGGAACCCUGAUGCAGCAACGCCGCGUGGAGGAUGACGCAUUUCGGUGUGUAAACUCCUUUUAUAUGUCAAGAAAAUGACGGUAGCAUAUGAAUAAGCACCGGCUAACUCCGUGCCAGCAGCCGCGGUAAUACGGAGGGUGCAAGCGUUACUCGGAAUCACUGGGCGUAAAGGACGCGUAGGCGGGUUGGAAAGUCAGGUGUGAAAUCCUACAGCUUAACUGUAGAACUGCACUUGAAACUUCUAAUCUAGAGUAUGGGAGGGGGAGAUGGAAUUAGUGGUGUAGGGGUAAAAUCCGUAGAUAUCACUAGGAAUACCUAAAGCGAAGGCGAUCUCCUGGAACAUUACUGACGCUAAGGCGUGAAAGCGUGGGGAGCAAACAGGAUUAUAUACCCUGGUAGUC